UUUCCCAUAAUAUCUCUCAUCGGAUUUCCCGAAAUUUCUUCAAAGCCAUCCGCCCAGAUCAAACCUAAAACCAAUGGCCUGCUUGUGGCUUGCCUUCAAUUUUCUACUUUCUUCCUUCAAGUUUUCUCUUUGAGUCAUUUCUUCAAGAAAGUUUAAACUAUAAAAAAUUUUAAAAAAAUCUUUUGCUUCUUGUGAUUUCUUGUGCCGCUAGCUUUGCUUCCAAGUUUAAUUUCUUUUGCUCAUCAGUUUAUUUUCUUCCCAAAAAAAAAAAUCCUUCUGCUUGUUGUGAUUUCUUGUGACGCUUUCUGCAGAUUUCUUUUGACUGUCAGUUUCUUUUCUUCAAAAAAAAAAAUCCUACCUGUUGUAAUUUCUUGUGACACCUCAAAUCUUCUUUCAAAUUUAUUUUCAUCAUCAGUUUAUUUUCUUCUGGAAAAAAAAAAGGAAAUAGAAAAGGAGAGGAAGCUGAUAUGGCUUUGAAGAAGUUCGAUCUUUCAAAGAAGCUAACAAAUCUGCCGAUGAUCUCGCUCUCGCCUUAGUCUCGUUAAGUUCUUCAUCAGGAUUGUUCUUGCCUGGUUUUCUAGUUUGUUUUUCCAUUCCUCUUGCUACCAAAAGGGGGGAAAGAAAGAAGAUAAAAGAAGAAAAGAAGUUGGAUCUUUGCAGAUGCUGUGACGUCCAUAUCAGAGUCUCCUUCACGUUAAACUGCUUUUGUCCCUCAACUACUGUCAGAGUACGGUUGAAAUCUUCAUAAAAAAACUGCACAGGAGACCCAAUUCAGUGCCUCGCAGGGAAUCAAUUUCUGUCUCCGAUCUUCUCGUUAUAAGCCUUGGUCAACGUAGCACAGUAGACCCAUUAGAGUGCCCUCGGCAAGGAAUCAAAUAUCUGUCUCCGGUCUUCUUGUUACGAUGUACGAUGAACUACCUCACUACAAUUAUCCCACUAGAAUUCAGGAGAAGGAGCAGCUAAGAAAAAAGAAGAAAAUAGAGAAGGAGAGGGAGCUUAUAUUGCUUUGAAGAAGUUUGAUCUUUCAGGGAAGCUAAUAAAUCUGCCAAUUAUCUCGCGCUCGCCUUAGUCUUGUAAAGUUCUUCAGGAUUGUUCUUGCCUAGUUUUCUAGUUUGUUUUUCCAUUCCUCUUGUUACCCAAAAAGAAAAAAAGAAAAGAAGUUUGAUCUUUGAAGACGCCGUACGUUCAUAUCAGGUCGAAAAAAUAUUUCCAUUCUCGUAGGUUCCGUUACGUUAAACUGCUUUUGUCCCUCAAGCAUUGUCAGAGUACGGUUGAAAUCUUCAUAAAAAAGUGGUAAGACUAAGUAUUCAUCUUUAAUAUAAUUUUA